rnacentral:rRNA from 1 species
AACGAACGCUGGCGGCAUGCCUAACACAUGCCAGUCGAACGAGACCUUCGGGUCUAGUGGCGCACGGGUGCGUAACGCGUGGGAACCUGCCCUUAGGUUCGGAAUAACUCCCCGAAAGGGGUGCUAAUACCGGAUAAUUUCUUCGGACCAAAGAUUUAUCGCCUUUGGAUGGGCCCGCGUUGGAUUAGCUAGUUGGUAGGGUAAAAGCCUACCAAGGCGACGAUCCAUAGCUGGUCUGAGAGGAUGAUCAGCCACACUGGGACUGAGACACGGCCCAGACUCCUACGGGAGGCAGCAGUGGGGAAUAUUGGACAAUGGGCGAAAGCCUGAUCCAGCAAUGCCGCGUGAGUGAUGAAGGCCUUAGGGUUGUAAAGCUCUUUUACCCGGGAUGAUAAUGACAGUACCGGGAGAAUAAGCUCCGGCUAACUCCGUG